UUUUAACUGUGAAGAGAAUUUAUCAUUAGGGACUCCCACCUCCUUCACCUGUCUCAUUGAGAUGUUUAUUUAGACCUGAAUGGCAAAUGUCGAAAGCCUGAGGUGAACUGCGGGCUUCAUCUGGUUAUUCAAACAUCAUCGCUUCCUGAAAAAAACAAAGUUGAAUUCAAGCUAAAUAAAGACACAUCGUCAUUCCCCGGUAGACUUUUACAACAUGACCUUGAAAGAAACUACUCAAGUAGGCAAGGUGAUCAUAUUAAUUUGGUGAGCUCAUCAUUGUCAUCAUUUCCUAUUCUUCAACGUUCUUCUGAAGAGAAAAUUCUUUACUCAGACAGGUUGAGCCUAGAAAGACAAAAGCUGACCGUAUGUCCUAUCAUCAAUGGGGAAGACCACCUUCGUUUGUUGAACUUUCAACACAAUUUUAUAACUCGGAUACAAAAUAUUUCUAAUCUACAGAAGUUAAUAUCGUUGGAUUUAUAUGAUAACCAGAUUGAAGAAAUUAGUGGGCUUUCGACUCUGAGAUGUCUUCGUGUCCUUCUGUUGGGGAAAAACAGAAUCAAGAAAAUCUCAAAUCUGGAGAAUCU
rnacentral:lncRNA from 1 species